AGGGGAAUAUUGCACAAUGGGGGAAACCCUGAUGCAGCGACGCGGCGUGAGUGAAGAAGUAUUUCGGUAGGUAAAGCGCUAUCAGCAGGGAAGAAAAUGACGGUACCUGAGUAAGAAGCCCCGGCCAACUACGUGCCAGUAGGCGCGGUAAUACGUAGGGGGCAAGCGUUAUCCGGAUUUACUGGGUGUAAAGGGAGCGUAGACGGUGAUGCAAGUCUGAAGUGAAAGGCAUGGGCUUAACCCGUGGACUGCUUUGGAAACUGUAUAACUGGAGUGCAGGAGAGGUAAGUGGAAUUCCUAGUGUAGCGGUGAAAUGCGUAGAUAUUAGGAGGAACACCAGUGGCGAAGGCGGCUUACUGGACUGUAACUGACGUUGAGGCUCGAAAGCGUGGGGAGCAAACAGG
rnacentral:rRNA from 1 species